AUUGAACGCUGGCGGAAUGCCUUACACAUGCAAGUCGAACGGCAGCAUGGGAGCAAUCCUGGUGGCGAGUGGCGAACGGGUGAGUAAUACAUCGGAACGUGCCCAAUCGUGGGGGAUAACGUAGCGAAAGCUACGCUAAUACCGCAUACGAUCUACGGAUGAAAGCGGGGGAUCGCAAGACCUCGCGCGAAUGGAGCGGCCGAUGGCAGAUUAGGUAGNGGGUGGGGUAAAGGCUCACCAAGCCUGCGAUCUGUAGCUGGUCUGAGAGGACGACCAGCCACACUGGGACUGAGACACGGCCCAGACUCCUACGGGAGGCAGCAGUGGGGAAUUUUGGACAAUGGGCGCAAGCCUGAUCCAGCCAUUCCGCGUGCAGGAUGAAGGCC
rnacentral:rRNA from 1 species